rnacentral:rRNA from 1 species
GAUGAACGCUGGCGGCGUGCCUAAUACAUGCAAGUCGAGCGACAGACGAGGAGCUUGCUCCUCUGACGUUAGCGGCGGACAGGUGAGUAACACGUGGAUAACCUACCUAUAAGACUGGGAUAACUUCGGGAAACCGGAGCUAAUACCGGAUAAUAUAUUGAACCGCAUGGUUCAAUAGUGAAAGACGGUUUUGCUGUCACUUAUAGAUGGAUCCGCGCCGCAUUAGCUAGUUGGUAAGGUAACGGCUUACCAAGGCAACGAUGCGUAGCCGACCUGAGAGGGUGAUCGGCCACACUGGAACUGAGACACGGUCCAGACUCCUACGGGAGGCAGCAGUAGGGAAUCUUCCGCAAUGGGCGAAAGCCUGACGGAGCAACGCCGCGUGAGUGAUGAAGGUCUUCGGAUCGUAAAACUCUGUUAUUAGGGAAGAACAAAUGUGUAAGUAACUAUGCACGUCUUGACGGUACCUAAUCAGAAAGCCACGGCUAACUACGUG